UACGUAGGGUGCAAGCGUUAAUCGGACUUACUGGGCGUAAAGCGUGCGCAGGCGGUUUUGUAAGUCUGACGUGAAAUCCCCGGGCUCAACCUGGGAACUGCGUUGGAGACUGCAAGGCUAGAAUCUGGCAGAGGGGGGUAGAAUUCCACGUGUAGCAGUGAAAUGCGUAGAGAUGUGGGGGAACACCGAUGGCGAAGGCAGCCCCCUGGGUCAAGAUUGACGCUCAUGCACGAAAGCGUGGGGAGCAAACAAG
rnacentral:rRNA from 1 species